rnacentral:tRNA from 1 species
GGUUGUGGCUCAGUGGUAGAGUGCUUGCCUAGCAUGAGUGAGGCACUGGGUUCGAUCCCCCGUACCA